rnacentral:rRNA from 1 species
GACGAACGCUGGCGGCGUGCUUAACACAUGCAAGUCGAACGGUAAGGCCCUUCGGGGUACACGAGUGGCGAACGGGUGAGUAACACGUGGGUGAUCUGCCCUGCACUUCGGGAUAAGCCUGGGAAACUGGGUCUAAUACCGGAUAGGACUCCUGCCUGCAUGGGUGGGGGUGGAAAGCUUUUGCGGUGGGGGAGGGGGCCGGGGCCGAUAGGCGUGGUGGUGGGGUGAUGGCCUACCAAGGCGACGCCGGGUAGCCGGCCUGAGAGGGUGCCCGGCCACACUGGGAAUGAGAUACGGCCCAGACUCCUACGGGAGGCAGCGGUGGGGAAUAUUGCACAAUGGGCGCAAGCCUGAUGCAGCGACGCCGCGUGAGGGAUGACGGCCGUCGGGUUGUAAACCUCUUUCAGCACCGACGAAGCGCAAGUGACGGUAGGUGCAGAAGAAGGACCGGCCAACUACGUGCCAGCCGCCGCAGUAA